UAGGGAUGAUGACGGGGUAUGAAAAUUAAAAAUCUAUUUAGUCCGUCAGUUAGCUAAUGAAAAAAUAUUAGACACGUAUUUUUUUUAUUUUGUCAUAUAAGAUAACAAUACUUAGAUAAAACGAA